GCCGAAGUGGCGGAAUUGGUAGACGCGCCAUCUUGAGGGGGUGGUGCCUUCGGGUGUGCGGGUUCGAGUCCCGCCUUCGGCA
rnacentral:tRNA from 1 species